rnacentral:tRNA from 1 species
CCUGGUGGCUCAGAGGUUAAAGCAUUUGCCUGCAAUGCAGGAGACCCUGGUUCGAUUCCUGGGUCAGGA